UCUAGAAUGCCUGAUAAAAGGGUUAUUAUGAUAUAAUAAUUUAUGUACUUAAAUAGUUACUCCUAG
rnacentral:tRNA from 1 species